GUGCUUACUUUAGCAGCACACAUACUAAAGUUGAAAGAGUAGAGAAAAGGUUUGCAUGACCAUUGUACAAGGGUGGCAUGCAGAAUUGCAUGGUGUAGAAUAUUCUU
ensembl:snRNA U6 U6 spliceosomal RNA